rnacentral:rRNA from 1 species
AGUGAACGCUGGCGGUAGGCCUAACACAUGCAAGUCGAACGGCAGCACAGUAAGAGCUUGCUCUUACGGGUGGCGAGUGGCGGACGGGUGAGGAAUACAUCGGAAUCUACUUUUUCGUGGGGGAUAACGUAGGGAAACUUACGCUAAUACCGCAUACGACCUACGGGUGAAAGCAGGGGAUCUUCGGACCUUGCGCGAUUGAAUGAGCCGAUGUCGGAUUAGCUAGUUGGCGGGGUAAAGGCCCACCAAGGCGACGAUCCGUAGCUGGUCAGAGAGGAUGAUCAGCCACACUGGAACCGAGACACGGUCCAGACUCCUACGGGAGGCAGCAGUGGGGAAUAUUGGACAAUGGGCGCAAGCCUGAUCCAGCCAUACCGCGUGGGUGAAGAAGGCCUUCGGGUUGUAAAGCCCUUUUGUUGGGAAAGAAAAGCAGCAGGUUAAUACCCCGCUGUUCUGACGGUACCCAAAGAAUAAGCACCGGCUAACUUCGUG